UCUCCUUUAGUCUCAGUGGUAGAUGCGUCCGACCGGUGGUGUGGAAGGUCAUAGGUUCAACUCCUGUAAGGGGAA